rnacentral:rRNA from 1 species
UACGAAGGGUGCUAGCGUUGCUCGGAAUCACUGGGCGUAAAGCGCACGUAGGCGGAUUGCUAAGUCAGGGGUGAAAUCCUGGAGCUCAACUCCAGAACUGCCCUUGAUACUGGCGGUCUCGAGUCCGGGAGAGGUGAGUGGAACUGCGAGUGUAGAGGUGAAAUUCGUAGAUAUUCGCAAGAACACCAGUGGCGAAGGCGGCUCACUGGCCCGGUACUGACGCUGAGGUGCGAAAGCGUGGGGAGCAAACAGG